rnacentral:rRNA from 1 species
AUUGAACGCUGGCGGCAUACUUUACACAUGCAAGUCGAACGGUAACAGGCCGCAAGGUGCUGACGAGUGGCGAACGGGUGAGUAAUGCAUCGGAACGUGCCCAGUCGUGGGGGAUAACUACUCGAAAGAGUAGCUAAUACCGCAUACGAUCUAUGGAUGAAAGCGGGGGACCGUAAGGCCUCGCGCGAUUGGAGCGGCCGAUGUCAGAUUAGGUAGUUGGUGGGGUAAAGGCUCACCAAGCCAACGAUCUGUAGCUGGUCUGAGAGGACGACCAGCCACACUGGGACUGAGACACGGCCCAGACUCCUACGGGAGGCAGCAGUGGGGAAUUUUGGACAAUGGGCGCAAGCCUGAUCCAGCAAUGCCGCGUGCAGGAAGAAGGCCUUCGGGUUGUAAACUGCUUUUGUACGGAACGAAACGGCUCUGGUUAAUACCCGGGGCUAAUGACGGUACCGUAAGAAUAAGCACCGGCUAACUACGUG